rnacentral:rRNA from 1 species
UAUUGGUCAAUAGCCUAAGCGGCUGAACCAGCAACUUGGAGGAAUGUACAGGGAAAACUGGUAAAAUGUGAUGUACCUGAUAGUAUUAGUGAUUAAUAUGAAAUUAACUAAGUUAAUUAAAAUUCAAAGUAGAUAUAUGAUUAUGACAAUAUUUGCUUAUUUCUUGACCAAGUCACGUGCCAGCAGUCGCGGUAAUACGUGGAAGAUAAGUGUUAUUCAUCUUUAAUAGGUUUAAAGGGUACCUAGACGGUUAAUUAAGCAUAAAAGUGUACUGAUUAUUAACUAGAGUUUAAUGUAAGAAGGAUUGAGUACGGUGAGUGAAGAGAUAAAAUUCUGUCAUACCACUUAGGAACUGGUAAAGGCGAAGGCAACCUUUUAUGUAAAAACUGACGUUGAGGGACGAAGGCUCGUAUUAAGUAAUAGGAUUAGAGACCCUAGUAUUGUGGGCAGACAAUGAUGAGUGUCAUAUGCAAGAAAAAUUUUUGUGUAUAAAUGAAAGUGUAAGCAUUCCACCUCAAGAGUAACGUGGCAACAUGGGAACUGAAAUCAUUAGACCGUUUCUGAAACUCGUAGUGAAGUAUGUUGUUUAAUUUGAUAAUCCUCAAAUAACCUUACCACAAUUUGUAUUACUAGUCUUUGUAUUAGUAACAAGCGUUGCACGGCUGUCUUCAGUCAAUGUUGUGAAACUUUGGUUAGAUCCAUUAAAUUGACGUAAACCCUUGCUUUAUUUGUUAUAAAGCAGUUCGCCGCUAUAUUGGUAAUGAUAUAAGGGACCAAGACAAGUCAUCAUGACCUGAACAUUGUGGGCUAUAGACGUGCCA